rnacentral:lncRNA from 1 species
AGCCCUCUUCUCUGUACCAGACAAGAGCAGAAGUCAUGUUUCCCAAGUUGUCAGAAGACUUUGCUGUUUAGGAGAAAGCAUUUUGACAUAGUCCAAUAAUUUUCUGUGCCUGAUGACUCAUUGUCUGGCAUAACUUUUCUCAGCACUUGGCAGCAUUAUGAAGCAACUGUUCUGUAACUGAUCCCACCGUGACACCGCCACACCCCAUAUCCUAAUUGCUUGGCAAUGGUGUUGCAGGAAACAGAUGAAGAUUCAUUUGAAUGGUUCAAGGUCGCAAAGAGAUGUCAAGCCUUCUCU